rnacentral:tRNA from 1 species
AAAAAACUAGUUAAUUCCAUAAUAAAAACUUGUCAAGUUUUAGUAACUACAACAGUAGUGUUUUUUA